rnacentral:lncRNA from 1 species
CCUAGGAUAAGGAAUGCUUUUUCCAAAUCCUUUAUGGAGAACAAUGAUAACAGUGAAACUUUUAUUCUCUGUAAUAUAAGGAAUGUCAUUCUCGAUUAAAAAAAUUUCAUUCACAUACAAAAUAAAAAAUACACUCAUAGAACUAUUAAUCCAUUUAUAUUUAUAGGAUUCUUCUUCGUUCUCAAUGAAGCUAUGUAUUUUGAUCAUUUAUCAAAAUGCAUGUUUCAACUCUGAAAUAUU